GAGCGGUUUCGAUGAAGUUUUCGGAUGGAAUUGAAAUUGACUUAGCGGCGGACGGGUGAGUAACGCGUGGGUAACCUGCCUUACACUGGGGGAUAACAGUUAGAAAUGACUGCUAAUACCGCAUAAGCGCACAGGGCCGCAUGGUCUGGUGUGAAAAACUCCGGUGGUGUAAGAUGGACCCGCGUCUGAUUAGGUAGUUGGUGGGGUAACGGCCCACCAAGCCGACGAUCAGUAGCCGACCUGAGAGGGUGACCGGCCACAUUGGGACUGAGACACGGCCCAAACUCCUACGGGAGGCAGCAGUGGGGAAUAUUGGACAAUGGGCGAAAGCCUGAUCCAGCGACGCCGCGUGAGUGAAGAAGUAUUUCGGUAUGUAAAGCUCUAUCAGCAGGGAAGAAAAUGACGGUACCUGACUAAGAAGCCCCGGCUAACUACGUGCCAGCAGCCGCGGUAAUACGUAGGGGGCAAGCGUUAUCCGGAUUUACUGGGUGUAAAGGGAGCGUAGACGGUUAAGCAAGUCUGAAGUGAAAGCCCGGGGCUCAACCCCGGUACUGCUUUGGAAACUGUUUGACUUGAGUGCAGGAGAGGUAAGUGGAAUUCCUAGUGUAGCGGUGAAAUGC
rnacentral:rRNA from 1 species